rnacentral:lncRNA from 1 species
CUAUAACACCUUAACCAGUCUUCAUACUUCUACUCCUGACCUAAGCAGAGGUGUCCAAUCUUUUGGCUUCCCUGGGCCACAUUGGAAGAAGAAUUGUCUUGGGCCACACUUAAGAAGAAUUGUCUUGGGCCACACAUAAAAUAAAUUAACACUAAUGACAGCAGAUGAGCUAAAAAAAAAUCACAAAAAAUCAUAAUAUUUUAAGAAAGUUUACAAAUUUGUGUUGGGCCACAUUCAAAGCCAUCCUGAGCCACAUGUGGCCCAUGGGCUAUGGGUUGGACAAGCUUGUUCUAUAGUGUAUUCUCCAGAAAUUCACCACAGUGGUCGUUUAAAACUACAAUUUCAUGUCAUUUCCCUGCUUAAAAACCCUUCAGUGUUUCCAGUCACCUUCAGAAUAAAAUCCAAACUUAGCUCAGCCUGUAAUGUCCUCCCUGAUCAGGGCUGCUUCCCUAAAUGACCUCAUCUUUCCUGUCUUACUCCUCUCUAGUCAGCCCUGCCUUCUUGCUGAACCCUCCAACAUCACUUUUUUCCCACCUGAGUACCUGUGCCCUUGCUGUUCUCUCUGCCUGGGCUGUCCUUCCUCUAGAUCUUCCCAAGGUUGUCUUUCUUCAUUUGGGUCUCUGUCAAAUGUCACUGGCCUUGUAAGACAUUGCCUAAGCACCUAAUCUAACACUUCAAACACCUCACAUUGCCAUGAUCUUUCC